AACGAACGCUGGCGGCGUGCCUAACACAUGCAAGUCGAACGAGAAAGGGGCUUCGGCUCCGAGUAAAGUGGCGCACGGGUGAGUAACACGUGGGUAACCUGCCUCUAAGAUUGGGAUAACUCGUCGAAAGAUGAGCUAAUACCGAAUAAGACCACAGUUCCCGCGGGAACAGGGGUCAAAGGUAGCCUCUGCUUGCAAGCUAUCACUUAGAGAUGGGCCUGCGCACCAUUAGCUAGUUGGUAGGGUAACGGCCUACCAAGGCAAAGAUGGUUAGCUGGUCAGAGAGGAUGAGCAGCCAAACUGGAACGGAGACACGGUCCAGACUCCUACGGGAGGCAGCAGUGGGGAAUAUUGCGCAAGAGGAGAAAGCUUGACGCAGCAACGCCGCGUGAGUGAUGAAGGCCUUCGGGUCGUAAAGCUCUGUCGGGAGGAACGAAUGCUCCUGAGGUUAACAGCCUCGGGAGGUGACGGUACCUUCAAAGGAAGCACCGGCUAACUCGGUG
rnacentral:rRNA from 1 species